AUUGAUGCUAUGAAUGGGAAGAGUAAAAUGAGUUAGUUAUCGAAAGAAAGGAAACAAACUGCUGAAAUGUUUCUGUUAACGGCCAUUUGAAGGUAGCCCAUGAGCAGCUUUUGUGAACUAACAGUAGCAAUUGCCGGUUUGAAGCCGUUAUCUAAUUGAGAGCGUGAUGUUAUUUUUUGCAUCUGCGAAUAAAGGUGGUACCGCGAACAAACUCCUUCGUCCUUUAA
rnacentral:ncRNA from 1 species